GACGAACGCUGGCGGCGCGCCUAACACAUGCAAGUCGAACGAGCGAGAGAGAGCUUGCUUUCUCGAGCGAGUGGCGAACGGGUGAGUAACGCGUGAGGAACCUGCCUCAGAGAGGGGGACAACAGUUGGAAACGACUGCUAAUACCGCAUAAGCCCACGGCUCGGCAUCGAGCAGGGGGAAAAGGAGCAAUCCGCUUUGAGAUGGCCUCGCGUCCGAUUAGCUAGUUGGUGGGGUAACGGCCCACCAAGGCGACGAUCGGUAGCCGGACUGAGAGGUUGAACGGCGACAUUGGGACUGAGACACGGCCCAGACUCCUACGGGAGGCAGCAGUGGGGAAUAUUGCACAAUGGGGGAAACCCUGAUGCAGCGACGCCGCGUGGAGGAAGAAGGUCUUCGGAUUGUAAACUCCUGUUGUUGGGGAAGAUAAUGACGGUACCCAACAAGGAAGUGACGGCUAACUACGUG
rnacentral:rRNA from 1 species